rnacentral:rRNA from 1 species
UACGGAGGGUGCGAGCGUUGUCCGGAAUCAUUGGGCGUAAAGCGCGUGUAGGCGGCCCGGUAAGUCCGCUGUGAAAGUCGGGGGCUCAACCCUCGAAUGCCGGUGGAUACUGUCGGGCUAGAGUGCGGGAGAGGCGAGUGGAAUUCCUGGUGUAGCGGUGAAAUGCGCAGAUAUCAGGAGGAACACCAAUUGCGAAGGCAGCUCGCUGGAACGUAACUGACGCUGAGACGCGAAAGCGUGGGGAGCAAACAGG